rnacentral:rRNA from 1 species
GAUGAACGCUGGCGGCGUGCCUAAUACAUGCGAGUCGAGCGAACAGACGAGGAGCUUGCUCCUCUGACGUUAGCGGCGGACGGGUGAGUAACACGUGGAUAACCUACCUAUAAGACUGGGAUAACUUCGGGAAACCGGAGCUAAUACCGGAUAACAUGUUGAACCGCAUGGUUCAACAGUGAAAGACGGUUUUGCUAUCACUUAUAGAUGGAUCCGCGCCGCAUUAGCUAGUUGGUAAGGUAACGGCUUACCAAGGCAACGAUGCGUAGCCGACCUGAGAGGGUGAUCGGCCACACUGGAACUGAGACACGGUCCAGACUCCUACGGGAGGCAGCAGUAGGGAAUCUUCCGCAAUGGGCGAAAGCCUGACGGAGCAACGCCGCGUGAGUGAAGAAGGUCUUCGGAUCGUAAAACUCUGUUAUUAGGGAAGAACAAAUGUGUAAGUAACUAUGCACGUCUUGACGGUACCUAAUCAGAAAGCCACGGCUAACUACGUG